UGGGGCUGCUUUUGGCAAUGGUAGAACUCACACUGGUGCAGUAGCAGGAUCCGGUGGUUCUAGACUUGCCAACUACAGCCCCAGG
rnacentral:pre_miRNA from 22 species